CAUUAAAAAAAAGAGAUUCCAGGGAGAAAUGGGUAGCCACUAAUAAUAUCCUCUUAUAUAUGUGUACAGUAUUUAAUCUUUGUGAUCACCUGAGGUCAGGAGUUCGAGAUCAGCCUGGCCAACAUGGUAAAACCUCGUCCUUACUAAAAACACAAAAAUUAGCCAGGUGUGUUGGCAGGUGCCUGUAAUCCCAGCUACCUGGGAGUCUAAGGCA
rnacentral:lncRNA from 1 species